rnacentral:rRNA from 1 species
CCCUUAGAUGUUCUGGGCCGCACGCGCGCUACACUGAUUCAUGCAACAAGUUUUGUCCUUGGCUGAUAGGCCUGGGUAAUCUUUGAACGUGAAUCGUGAUGGGGAUAGAUGAUUGCAAUUAUUCAUCUUCAACGAGGAAUUCCUAGUAAACGCAAGUCAUCAGCCUGCAUUGAUUACGUCCCUGCCCUUUGUACACACCGCCCGUCGCACCUACCGAUUGAAUGGUCCGGUGAAAUCUUCGGAUCUGAGAGAUGUCUGAUUAAUUUCGGACGCCUUUUGGAAAAGUUGCUUAAACCUUACCAUUUAGAGGAAGGUGAAGUCGUAACA